AGACAUUGAAUUCUUCAACUUCUAAGCCCGAUUUGAAGACAGGAGGAAGUCAUGGUUUCCGCAAAACAAAAUUCUAGGGUUCAAACUAUUAAUUGGCAAACUAUACUGAGCUCAGUAACUUGUAGUGUAUAAUUAUAACCUAAGUGUUAACUUGUGAAACAUGUCAGGCGGAUCAUCGUAAAGCUCACACUAUCCCGGUAAAUUCUGUUUUUCGAAGCUGGACUCAGCGGACAGAGGUCUUAGAUGGAUAAGCUUAAAUUAAUCGAAUAAAGUUUUUCUCUAAUUCUUGAAUUAGUGAACUGUAAGUACUUAUAGGAAAUGUGGUAUAAAUUUUAUUUUGGACAAUUUUAAAGUGUUAUUUGGAUUGAACUUUAGAAACUAUGGAUUUUAUAUUGAACCUAAACUUACGAAGUUCAUGCGUAGUUUUUAUGAAAAUGAAACUAAUAUGAAUUUUUAA